rnacentral:rRNA from 1 species
GGUCAAGUGAAGAAGCGCAUACGGUGGAUGCCUUGGCAGUCAGAGGCGAUGAAAGACGUGGUAGCCUGCGAAAAGCUUCGGGGAGUCGGCAAACAGACUGUGAUCCGGAGAUGUCUGAAUGGGGGAACCCAGCCAUCAUAAGAUGGUUAUCUUGUACUGAAUACAUAGGUGCAAGAGGCGAACCAGGGGAACUGAAACAUCUAAGUACCCUGAGGAAAAGAAAUCAACCGAGAUUCCCUUAGUAGUGGCGAGCGAACGGGGACCAGCCCUUAAGUUGUAUUGAGAUUAGCGGAACGUUCUGGAAAGGACGGCCAUAGUGGGUGAUAGCCCUGUACGCGAAAAUCCCUUUGUAAUGAAAUCGAGUAGGACGGGGCACGAGAAACCUUGUCUGAAUAUGGGGGGACCAUCCUCCAAGGCUAAAUACUACUGACUGACCGAUAGUGAACCAGUACCGUGAGGGAAAGGCGAAAAGAACCGCGGAGAGCGGAGUGAAAUAGAUCCUGAAACCGUAUGCGUACAAGCAGUGGGAGCCCACUUUGUUGGGUGACUGCGUACCUUUUGUAUAAUGGGUCAGCGACUUAUUUUCAGUGGCGAGCUUAACCGAAUAGGGGAGGCGUAGCGAAAGCGAGUCUUAAUAGGGCGUCUAGUCGCUGGGAAUAGACCCGAAACCGGGCGAUCUAUCCAUGGGCAGGUUGAAGGUUGGGUAACACUAACUGGAGGACCGAACCGACUACCGUUGAAAAGUUAGCGGAUGACCUGUGGAUCGGAGUGAAAGGCUAAUCAAGCUCGGAGAUAGCUGGUUCUCCUCGAAAGCUAUUUAGGUAGCGCCUCAUGUAUCACUGUAGGGGGUAGAGCACUGUUUCGGCUAGGGGGUCAUCCCGACUUACCAAACCGAUGCAAACUCCGAAUACCUACAAGUGCCGAGCAUGGGAGACACACGGCGGGUGCUAACGUCCGUCGUGAAAAGGGAAACAACCCAGACCGUCAGCUAAGGUCCCAAAGUCAUGGUUAAGUGGGAAACGAUGUGGGAAGGCUUAGACAGCUAGGAGGUUGGCUUAGAAGCAGCCACCCUUUAAAGAAAGCGUAAUAGCUCACUAGUCGAGUCGGCCUGCGCGGAAGAUGUAACGGGGCUCAAACCAUGCACCGAAGCUACGGGUAUCAUCUUAUGAUGAUGCGGUAGAGGAGCGUUCUGUAAGCCUGUGAAGGUGAGUUGAGAAGCUUGCUGGAGGUAUCAGAAGUGCGAAUGCUGACAUGAGUAACGACAAUGGGUGUGAAAAACACCCACGCCGAAAGACCAAGGUUUCCUGCGCAACGUUAAUCGACGCAGGGUUAGUCGGUCCCUAAGGCGAGGCUGAAAAGCGUAGUCGAUGGAAAACAGGUUAAUAUUCCUGUACUUCUGGUUAUUGCGAUGGAGGGACGGAGAAGGCUAGGCCAGCCUGGCGUUGGUUGUCCAGGUUUAAGGUGGUAGGCUGAGAUCUUAGGUAAAUCCGGGAUCUCAAGGCCGAGAGCUGAUGACGAGUGUUCUUUAGAACACGAAGUGGUUGAUGCCAUGCUUCCAAGAAAAGCUUCUAAGCUUCAGGUAACCAGGAACCGUACCCCAAACCGACACAGGUGGUUGGGUAGAGAAUACCAAGGCGCUUGAGAGAACUCGGGUGAAGGAACUAGGCAAAAUGGCACCGUAACUUCGGGAGAAGGUGCGCCGGUGAGGGUGAAGCAUUUACUGCGUAAGCCCACGCCGGUCGAAGAUACCAGGCCGCUGCGACUGUUUAUUAAAAACACAGCACUCUGCAAACACGAAAGUGGACGUAUAGGGUGUGACGCCUGCCCGGUGCCGGAAGGUUAAUUGAUGGGGUUAGCGCAAGCGAAGCUCUUGAUCGAAGCCCCGGUAAACGGCGGCCGUAACUAUAACGGUCCUAAGGUAGCGAAAUUCCUUGUCGGGUAAGUUCCGACCUGCACGAAUGGCGUAACGAUGGCGGCGCUGUCUCCACCCGAGACUCAGUGAAAUUGAAAUCGCUGUGAAGAUGCAGUGUAUCCGCGGCUAGACGGAAAGACCCCGUGAACCUUUACUAUAGCUUUGCACUGGACUUUGAAUUUGCUUGUGUAGGAUAGGUGGGAGGCUUUGAAGCGUGGACGCCAGUCUGCGUGGAGCCAACCUUGAAAUACCACCCUGGCAACUUUGAGGUUCUAACUCAGGUCCGUUAUCCGGAUCGAGGACAGUGUAUGGUGGGUAGUUUGACUGGGGCGGUCUCCUCCUAAAGAGUAACGGAGGAGUACGAAGGUGCGCUCAGACCGGUCGGAAAUCGGUCGUAGAGUAUAAAGGCAAAAGCGCGCUUGACUGCGAGACAGACACGUCGAGCAGGUACGAAAGUAGGUCUUAGUGAUCCGGUGGUUCUGUAUGGAAGGGCCAUCGCUCAACGGAUAAAAGGUACUCCGGGGAUAACAGGCUGAUACCGCCCAAGAGUUCAUAUCGACGGCGGUGUUUGGCACCUCGAUGUCGGCUCAUCACAUCCUGGGGCUGAAGCCGGUCCCAAGGGUAUGGCUGUUCGCCAUUUAAAGUGGUACGCGAGCUGGGUUUAGAACGUCGUGAGACAGUUCGGUCCCUAUCUGCCGUGGACGUUUGAGAUUUGAGAGGGGCUGCUCCUAGUACGAGAGGACCGGAGUGGACGAACCUCUGGUGUUCCGGUUGUCACGCCAGUGGCAUUGCCGGGUAGCUAUGUUCGGAAAAGAUAACCGCUGAAAGCAUCUAAGCGGGAAACUUGCCUCAAGAUGAGAUCUCACUGGAACCUUGAGUUCCCUAAAGGGCCGUCGAAGACUACGACGUUGAUAGGUUGGGUGUGUAAGCGCUGUGAGGCGUUGAGCUAACCAAUACUAAUUGCCCGUGAGGCUUGACCAU